rnacentral:rRNA from 1 species
GGGUUGUGAGGUUAAGCGACUAAGCGUACACGGUGGAUGCCCUGGCAGUCAGAGGCGAUGAAGGACGUGCUAAUCUGCGAAAAGCGUCGGUAAGGUGAUAUGAACCGUUACAGCCGGCGAUGUCCGAAUGGGGAAACCCAGUGCAAUUCGUUGCACUAUCGUUAACUGAAUACAUAGGUUAACGAGGCGAACCGGGGGAACUGAAACAUCUAAGUACCCCGAGGAAAAGAAAUCAACCGAGAUUCCCCCAGUAGCGGCGAGCGAACGGGGAGCAGCCCAGAGUCUGAAUCAGCUUGUGUGUUAGUGGAACGGUCUGGAAAGUCCGACGGUACAGGGUGAUAGUCCCGUACACCAAAAUGCACAGGCUGUGAACUCGAAGAGUAGGGCGGGACACGUGGUAUCCUGUCUGAAUAUGGGGGGACCAUCCUCCAAGGCUAAAUACUCCUGACUGACCGAUAGUGAACCAGUACCGUGAGGGAAAGGCGAAAAGAACCCCGGCGAGGGGAGUGAAAAAGAACCUGAAACCGUGUACGUACAAGCAGUGGGAGCACCUUCGGGUGUGACUGCGUACCUUUUGUAUAAUGGGUCAGCGACUUAUAUUCUGUAGCAAGGUUAACCGUAUAGGGGAGCCGCAGGGAAACCGAGUCUUAACUGGGCGUUAAGUUGCAGGGUAUAGACCCGAAACCCGGUGAUCUAGCCAUGGGCAGGUUGAAGGUUGGGUAACACUAACUGGAGGACCGAACCGACUAAUGUUGAAAAAUUAGCGGAUGACUUGUGGCUGGGGGUGAAAGGCCAAUCAAACCGGGAGAUAGCUGGUUCUCCCCGAAAGCUAUUUAGGUAGCGCCUCGUGAAUUCAUCUUCGGGGGUAGAGCACUGUUUCGGCUAGGGGGUCAUCCCGACUUACCAACCCGAUGCAAACUACGAAUACCGAAGAAUGUUAUCACGGGAGACACACGGCGGGUGCUAACGUCCGUCGUGAAGAGGGAAACAACCCAGACCGCCAGCUAAGGUCCCAAAGUCAUGGUUAAGUGGGAAACGAUGUGGGAAGGCACAGACAGCCAGGAUGUUGGCUUAGAAGCAGCCAUCAUUUAAAGAAAGCGUAAUAGCUCACUGGUCGAGUCGGCCUGCGCGGAAGAUGUAACGGGGCUAAACCAUGCACCGAAGCUGCGGCAGCGACACUAUGUGUUGUUGGGUAGGGGAGCGUUCUGUAAGCCUGCGAAGGUGUGCUGUGAGGCAUGCUGGAGGUAUCAGAAGUGCGAAUGCUGACAUAAGUAACGAUAAAGCGGGUGAAAAGCCCGCUCGCCGGAAGACCAAGGGUUCCUGUCCAACGUUAAUCGGGGCAGGGUGAGUCGACCCCUAAGGCGAGGCCGAAAGGCGUAGUCGAUGGGAAACAGGUUAAUAUUCCUGUACUUGGUGUUACUGCGAAGGGGGGACGGAGAAGGCUAUGUUAGCCGGGCGACGGUUGUCCCGGUUUAAGCAUGUAGGCUGGUUGUCCAGGCAAAUCCGGAUAAUCAAGGCUGAGGUGUGAUGACGAGGCACUACGGUGCUGAAGUAACAAAUGCCCUGCUUCCAGGAAAAGCCUCUAAGCAUCAGGUAACAUCAAAUCGUACCCCAAACCGACACAGGUGGUCAGGUAGAGAAUACCAAGGCGCUUGAGAGAACUCGGGUGAAGGAACUAGGCAAAAUGGUGCCGUAACUUCGGGAGAAGGCACGCUGGUGUGUAGGUGAAGUCCCUGCGGAUGGAGCUGAGACCAGUCGAAGAUACCAGCUGGCUGCAACUGUUUAUUAAAAACACAGCACUGUGCAAACACGAAAGUGGACGUAUACGGUGUGACGCCUGCCCGGUGCCGGAAGGUUAAUUGAUGGGGUUAUCCGUAAGGAGAAGCUCUUGAUCGAAGCCCCGGUAAACGGCGGCCGUAACUAUAACGGUCCUAAGGUAGCGAAAUUCCUUGUCGGGUAAGUUCCGACCUGCACGAAUGGCGUAAUGAUGGCCAGGCUGUCUCCACCCGAGACUCAGUGAAAUUGAACUCGCUGUGAAGAUGCAGUGUACCCGCGGCAAGACGGAAAGACCCCGUGAACCUUUACUAUAGCUUGACACUGAACAUUGAGCCUUGAUGUGUAGGAUAGGUGGGAGGCUUUGAAGCGUGGACGCCAGUCUGCGUGGAGCCAACCUUGAAAUACCACCCUUUAAUGUUUGAUGUUCUAACGUUGGCCCCUUACCGGGGUUGCGGACAGUGUCUGGUGGGUAGUUUGACUGGGGCGGUCUCCUCCCAAAGCGUAACGGAGGAGCACGAAGGUUAGCUAAUCCUGGUCGGACAUCAGGAGGUUAGUGCAAUGGCAUAAGCUAGCUUGACUGCGAGCGUGACGGCGCGAGCAGGUGCGAAAGCAGGUCAUAGUGAUCCGGUGGUUCUGAAUGGAAGGGCCAUCGCUCAACGGAUAAAAGGUACUCCGGGGAUAACAGGCUGAUACCGCCCAAGAGUUCAUAUCGACGGCGGUGUUUGGCACCUCGAUGUCGGCUCAUCACAUCCUGGGGCUGAAGUAGGUCCCAAGGGUAUGGCUGUUCGCCAUUUAAAGUGGUACGCGAGCUGGGUUUAGAACGUCGUGAGACAGUUCGGUCCCUAUCUGCCGUGGGCGCUGGAGAAUUGAGGGGGGCUGCUCCUAGUACGAGAGGACCGGAGUGGACGCAUCACUGGUGUUCGGGUUGUCAUGCCAAUGGCACUGCCCGGUAGCUAAAUGCGGAAGAGAUAAGUGCUGAAAGCAUCUAAGCACGAAACUUGCCCCGAGAUGAGUUCUCCCUGAGACUUUAAGUCUCCUGAAGGAACGUUGAAGACGACGACGUUGAUAGGCCGGGUGUGUAAGCGCAGCGAUGCGUUGAGCUAACCGGUACUAAUGAACCGUGAGGCUUAACCUUACAACGCCGAAG